AACGAACGCUGGCGGCAUGCCUAACACAUGCAAGUCGAACGAGACCUUCGGGUCUAGUGGCGCACGGGUGCGUAACGCGUGGGAACCUGCCCUUAGGUUCGGAAUAACUCCCCGAAAGGGGUGCUAAUACCGGAUAAUGUCUUCGGACCAAAGAUUUAUCGCCUUUGGAUGGGCCCGCGUUGGAUUAGCUAGUUGGUAGGGUAAAAGCCUACCAAGGCGACGAUCCAUAGCUGGUCUGAGAGGAUGAUCAGCCACACUGGGACUGAGGCACGGCCCAGACUCCUAUGGGAGGCAGCAGUGGGGAAUAUUGGACAAUGGGCGAAAGCCUGAUCCAGCAAUGCCGCGUGAGUGAUGAAGGCCUUAGGGUUGUAAAGCUCUUUUACCCGGGAUGAUAAUGACAGUACCGGGAGAAUAAGCUCCGGCUAACUCCGUG
rnacentral:rRNA from 1 species